UGGUUACUUGUUUCUCUCAUUUUCCUUUGUAUUUUGAACAAGUAAAAUACUCUUGGGUCUAUGAGAAGAACAUCAACUUCUAUUUAAGUUUCAGGUGGUGCCGCCGCCCUUCCUCUGCCUGCUACGGACUAGCCCCUCUGCGUCACCCUGCUGACUCCUUGCGUGCAACCGACGGGCUAGGAUACUAUUGUGAGAUGGUCUGAUACAUAAAAGACGGCCUCAAGCCCCUCUAAGGAAGCAUCCAGUCUCGCCGUUCUACCAAUUUCGCCGGAAAAACGAUCUACUAACUUUGCCGGAGCGCUGACUGCCUGUGCUCCACCUGAGGUACGCCGAACAGCCAAGCCACGAGUAGCCUUGAAGUAGCAAGCUGUUAUGUUUGAAAAUUAAUUUAAAAAACAUGUGUUCUGGCUUUAUUACUUUGCCAUGAUCUUUUACUGUGUGCCUGCAACCGUAGCGCCCAUCGGCAUUACCUUGCCAUAUACGGACAGUCUGCUGAGUAAUUCAGAGCAAGAAAGUUAUUUUACUGGAAAAAGUACAUCCAGUAUGAAACCAGGGAAAUUAAAUUGAAAUAUGUCUGCAACAGUUAGGAUUGUAGUAUACAAGUUUACAGAUGAAUAUAUCAAGUUUACUAU